ACACUGUUGUUGAAGCCGGAUCGUUGCCCCAGGGCACUUCAGCUCAGAAAGCUGAACUCAUUGCUUUAAUUCGGGCCUUAGAACUCAGUGAAGGUGACUCUUAAAUUUGAGAAACAUUGGAAUAGUGGAUUAAUUCAGAGUAGCGGUUUUUGUGAUCCACAGAUGAAGCACAGAGAAAAGGAUAGAGAUGGAGACACAAAAACAUUGAUCUCCCAAGCUGUAGAGACUGGUGUCUCCUUUGGGAAUAUCUACAACUACCAACUGCACAACAAAGUAGUAAGUGCAGCUUCGAAUUUGUCUUGUGGUAGGCCACGAUCCUGUGCCCACAAGGACAGUGCACAGGUCAUCCGAGCACACGGCUGAGCCCGGUAGGCAAAGGAAGGAAGGUCCAGGUCACAGGGCAGCGAGGCCCAGCACAAUGAAGGAGAAUGGAAACACACCACACCUCAAUUAGAAUGGGAUCCAAUUCUUUUACAAAAAUUUUUUUCUGAUUACAAAAUUUAAGGGAAAAAGGGAAAGUUCUUCCUUCCUACAGACUGACAUGUAAUAAAUGGAGAUGGAACACACAAAAA
rnacentral:sRNA from 1 species